UCAGUUCAGAUCGUAGGCUGCAACUCGCCUACGUGAAGGAGGAAUCGCUAGUAAUCGCAGGUCAGCAUACUGCGGUGAAUACGUUCCCGGGCCUUGUACACACCGCCCGUCACACCAUGGAAGUUGGCCACGCCCGAAGCCGUUACUCCAACCCUUGUGGAGGAGGACGUCGAAGGUGGGGCUGAUGACUGGGGUGAAGUCAUAACAAGGUAGCCGUACCGGAAGGUGCGGCUGGAUCACCUCCUAA
rnacentral:rRNA from 1 species